rnacentral:lncRNA from 1 species
UAUAUCUUACCUAUUGAUAUCUUUAUGUAUAAUUUUUUAUUUAAAAAAUAAUAUUCAAAUCUCUUCUUCAUAUUUUUAAAAAAUAAAACCUUUGACAAACUCAAACUUGGGUUCAAAAAUUAUAUUGAAGGCAGCACUAAACGGAUAACUGGACUUUAGUCCUUAAACAAGUCUAGGCCUUAGUUGAGACUGAGCAAUGAGAAGCUGAGCAUCCUGCACUUCAAGCAACUUAAAAUAAAAAAUAAAAUAACGAAAAACAAACAAUGACAAGGGAAGUGACAAAUUAAGAAGAAAAAGCACACACGCACACGCACACGCACUUUUUUCCUUUGAAAAACAGAAGGGUGGCCCCACCUGAAAUUCAGGCGAUUCAAAGAACCUGCAUCUUCUCUCUUUCACUUUAACCAUUACCGUCAUCAAAUGAUCUUCGUUUUUCUUUCUAUGUGCAUGAAUGCUUCAUUGUCUACUGUAUACUAAUAAUAAUUCAUAGCUAAAUCCAAUCCACAUUACUUGCUAUCUCUUCAUACUAUGUCAGCUAUGACAUCAUCUUACAGCUUAAUUGCCAACUCUCCAUCUGCAAACUCCUGGAUUCUUCUACUAACAUUAAAGAAUCUGACAAUCAUCUUUAAUGGAUCGUUGAACCAAUUGAUCACUUGAUUUUUCUUUUCCUCUUUUAUAAUUUAUUUGUUGUAUAGCAAUUUCAGAGUUGUUUCCAAUUGGAUGGUAUAUGUAAAGAAAAUUAUUUUAGUUUUAAUUAUGACACUGAUGGAACAGUUGACUAAUAUAACUAACCUUAUUUUUAUUAUUGUAUUUAUAUUUAAAUGCAUAUUUUUAUUUUUUAUUAUUAAUUUUAAUAUCAUAAUUUAACAAUUAUAAUAUCUUAUUUUAUUAUUAUAAUAUCUAAUCCCAUAAGCAUUAUGAUUUAUUAUUUCACCACCCAUAUAAAUAAAUCAUAAAUUUUAAUAAAAUAUGAACCAAAUCGAAUGUUAGUACUAAAAAAAAAUCUCGGUUUCCAUCCCCUUUAACCCCAAACUUCUUGACUUUUUCAAUCUUGAACUUUCCAUUUCCAAAUGCAUUUCCCACUCUCUACAGUAUUGAUUGUAACAAAUCAUAGGUUCACGGUAUAAUACCAAUACCAUGUUCAGACAAAAAACUUUGUCGGAUGUUUCAUUUUUCAUCCAUUUUACAUUGUUCAUGUAACAACUUCAUCCCUAUUAUAUAGUCCAUACCCAAGACUCUAGUAAGAAGGAAAGUUGACAUUUUCUUCUUUCUCUUUUUUUUUUUUUUUUUCAUUGGAAAAUUACAAAAGAAAAGAAUCCAACAGAUAUGAAUGUCCAAGGAAAGGAUUGAAGUGAGAGCAGUCUCAUCCAAAGUGAUGGAGACAAGACUUUGAUGCAAUAAACUCAUCUGACUGUUUGACACCUGGACAUCAAUGCUGGGGGAACUUACAAAUCAGGAUUCUGUCCCAAGCCCCAUUAAUCUGCUGACAUUUUUCCAAUGCCCAUCAAGAUUUUGACACGUAGAAACACAAAAUUUUACAAUCAAGACAAUGCUGAUAGACACAUUCAGGGUUCCCCAUCCCUAAAGUUGAAUUUCUAUGUGAAAUGGUUCAUUAAUUUCAGAAACUGAGACACAGUGGCAGUGCUGAGAAAAUGACUAUAAGGAAAAUAAAUAAGGCAAUUGUCUGAAGUUGGAGAAAAGUAUUCAGAGAAUAAAUGCCACUUGUCAUUAUGCAGGUGAGAUAUAAUGAAAGGAAAGGAGGGGAGAGGCUCCAUCUACCCAAAGUUUCAUUGUGACACACAGGACCAAAACUGGUUGUCAAUUUUUGGUUGAGAAUUGAAGGAUCCAUCUUUUCUUUCAAUUUCGACUCGUUAAAUGCUCAUUUAUGGUAUUUCUUGGAGCGGGACAAAGCUGGACAUUGAUGCUUUAAAACUCAGCAUAAAUGGCUAAGUCCUCUCCUAAUGUAAGUUCAAGAUAACCCAACUUGCCAUGUUUAGGUUUUUAAAGAUGGACUUUUGGUUAAGUAACCUAAUUGGCGGAUGUGAAAGAAAGUUUAGUACUACCAAUAAUGCAAUAAAGAAAGGUUGUUGAACGAAAUUGGGAUUUUGACAAUUGUGAAUUUUCAAUCUUUUCGGUUUUCACUCCACUUGAUGCCUUAGGGUUGCUACUUUUUCUUAUAG